rnacentral:rRNA from 1 species
CUACGUGCCAGCAGCCGCGGUAAUACGUAUGUCACAAGCGUUAUCCGGAUUUAUUGGGCGUAAAGCGCGUCUAGGUGGUUAUGUAAGUCUGAUGUGAAAAUGCAGGGCUCAACUCUGUAUUGCGUUGGAAACUGCAUGACUAGAGUACUGGAGAGGUAAGCGGAACUACAAGUGUAGAGGUGAAAUUCGUAGAUAUUUGUAGGAAUGCCGAUGGGGAAGCCAGCUUACUGGACAGAUACUGACGCUAAAGCGCGAAAGCGUGGGUAGCAAACAGGAUUAGAUACCCUGGUAGUCCACGCCGUAAACGAUGAUUACUAGGUGUUGGGGGUCGAACCUCAGCGCCCAAGCUAACGCGAUAAGUAAUCCGCCUGGGGAGUACGGUCGCAAGAUUAAAACUCAAAGGAAUUGACGGGGACCCGCACAAGCGGUGGAUGAUGUGGAUUAAUUCGAUGCAACGCGAAGAACCUUACCUGGUCUUGACAU